GUCUACGGCCACACCUAGGCGAAAACACCAGACCAGUUCCCGUCCGAUCACUGCAGCAUGUGAAAACGUUUGACGGCCUCGUUAGUUUCGUUCUAUGGUUGGAGACAACAUGAGAAUUCGGGGUGCGGUAGGCU
rnacentral:rRNA from 1 species